AAACAUGUUUAUUUGCAUAUUGACCUGUGCCUUCUUUUUAAGUUCAAGGAGGCAGUCAAUGUAAGUGUUCAGGCAAGAUGGUGAAGAAAAAAGGGGAAGGGGAAGGAAUUUCUCCCCUGCCUCCCUUUUCAAGUGGAGCACCUAGAGUUGCACUUGAGGAAGUUAAAAUCUUGGGAGAUGCAACCCCGUUCUAUAGGUUUCUUUACAUUCUUUGAGUUGCUAUGAAGAGUCUGUAUUUUUUUUUUUCUUUUUUAAGGGCUGCACCCGCGGUAUAUGGAGGUUCCCAGGUGAGGGGUCUAAUUGGAGCUACAGCUGCCAGCCUACGCCACAGCCACAGCAAUGCCAGAUCUAAGCCGCGUCUGCACCACAUCUCACUGCAACACCAGAUCCCCAACCCAAUGUUCGAGGCCAGGGAUCAAACCUGCAACCUCAUGGUUCCUAAUUGGAUUCGUUUCUGCUGCUGCAUGAUGCGAGCUCCCUAGUCUGUAUUUUUUUUUUUUUAAAUCAAUGCAUGAAAGAUACAAUUUUAGCAAGAAAAAAGAGGGGUGUUAGGCGGAGAUUAGAGGGGCACUGCCAGGCCCUUGAUUUAUCUCCAUUUUCAAGGGAGUCAGGGACACACCCUGGCUGGCCAAUACUGUGACAGGUGGCAGGGUCCUCUGUGACCCCCCCUGCCCUUGCCUCACAGCUGAUCUUCUUGCUCUUCAUGUUCUGCUUCUGCUCUGGCCUCAGGCCUCAGGACCCUGAGGCUCCUGGCCUCGCCUGCCCUGGGGACUCUCUUGGGCAGGGUGGGCAACCUGGGGGUGUGCCAGAAGGCUCUCCGGCGCUUUCGAAACCACGAAAAGCGGCCGGGGGUCUGGAACCUCACUGUCUUGACCGGUUUCCGGGUCCUGGCUCCUGGGGUUGCCCCUGUGGCUCUCCAAGCAGCUGAGGAUUCAGCUUCCUGGACAGCCAGGGCCUCUGCCCUCUGACUACAUGCAGCUUCUGCCCUCUGGUCAGGAAUGGCCUCUGCCCUCUGGACAGCUGGCGCCUCUGCCCCCUGGACAGCUAGGGCCUCUGCCCUCUGAUUAUCUGCAGCCUCUACUCUCUGGACAGUUGGGUCCUCUGCCCCCUGAGCAGCAGGGGCCUCAGCCCUCUGAUUAUCCACAGCUUCUGCCCCCUGGAGAGCUAUGGCCUCUGCCCCCGGGACCACUACUACCUCUGCCCUCUGAUCAUCUGCAGCCUCUGUUCUCUGAGCUCUAGUUGGGGCUUCCUCCCUCCUGCGACGACGGAAGGAGGCCCAAUUGAUUUUGGGUCUCCACCGACUUGGGGGAUUCUCAGGCACCCGCCCAUCUCCUGCAUUUCCCCUGUCCUCCCCGAGGCUUGAGCUGCCUGGCACCGAUGCGCCAUCCCUCUCCACCCUGGUAGAGGCCUGCCGGGCCUCACCCACCCCUGGGCUGGACCUCGGUGCCCAGCCCUUCACCCUCCGCUUCAGCUUCCCCCAGGACACCUGGCUGACAUAUUCCCGCCAUCUAUCAGCCUUGGACAGCUGGGGUCCCGGAUUGUCCUCAAACAUGGGCACUGGCAGGGUCACACGGCGGCGGGCCGGCGGGGCACUGGGCUUCUUCUCUCCUCGCCGCAGGAAGGCCUCAACCAGUUCCUCGUCAUCCUCGCUCUCCAGGUCGCUCCCAAGGAAUUUGCUGCCCAGGUAACUGACAGGCAUUUUGCGCAGCCUCCUUCCACGCCCCGUGCCUUUGUGGUCCUUGUCAUCCUUGUCUCUGGAGGUUUCAAAGUCGCUGAACUCGCUGUCACUGGCAUUGCUGCUGUCAUAAGUACCCACGACCAGCCGAGGAGGUGGCGUCACCAUCUGCGGGACUCUCCUCCUCGAUCCGGGCUCCUUGGGCUUUUUAGGGGGCUGGGGCGGGUGGGGGGUGCUCUUCUCGAUGAUGCGGGCCACAUCCUCCAGGGUGCGGCCUUCUUCCUCCAGAAACUGGAUCAGCCGCUCCCGAAAUUCCGCCUCCUUGGUGGCGGGCUUGGAGAUAACCCUCCAGACGCCUCCCGCCAGCCUGACCUCGCGGGGGAUGAGCAAAUAGUCUACGUCCUCGCCGAUCUGCAGCAUCCCCACCGUGGAGUCCUCCUCGCGGCGGAACACCUUGCCGAUCUUCUUGAAUGUCCCCACCGGCUUCAAGGCUUCCACGAGGACGUCCAAAUCCACAUCUUUGCAGAUGUCGGGGACGCUCCAGAGGAUCAGGCAAUCAGGGGAAGGGAGGAAGCCCCAGGGGAACCAGCCCCCCACGUGGCUUUUCUCGAGGGUCUUUAAGAUCUCCAGGGUGAAAUCUAAAGUGCGGGCAAGGAGCCCAAACUACUCGCAGCGCCGAGUCUUGGGGUGGGGAUGCGGUCCCAAGAGCGCGGCCGGGAAUCUCACCUCCCAGUUUCUCUGCCCGCAACAAGUCGGGUCGUGAUCCAGUUCGCUCCCCUCAAGGACUGGUGGGAAUCGAUUCAGGGUGCUUACGUGAGUCGGAGUCUCAAGGUUCCAAGCCCGCCGCAAGCUGUAAAUGGGUGUCCCGGCUCCAACUCAGUGUAAGGACUGCUGGUGGCUCUUCCUGUGCCAGGCACAGGGGACGUCCCUGGAACUUGGGAAAGGACUUUGCAGACAAAGACGGCUCAGCUGUGGCUGUUCAAUAUGGCCGAGGCUCUUGGAGGCCGCAGCCAGCUCCCCAGGAGGGUCUCCCGCCCCUAGGCAGGCUGCCACCUCGGUCCAGGCUGACCUUGACGCGCCUCCGCCCCCAGCCUGCGCGCCCAGGG
rnacentral:lncRNA from 1 species